AAGGACUUUCAGGAAGUCUUAUAUAUUGAAUGCUUUAGAAAGAAAUUGGGCCCUGUCUCAGCAAGGCAGUUUUUUGCAACAGUCUGAAAGGAUAAGAAAAGGAAAAAUGUUAUUUCCUCUCGUUUCCUCAUCAGUUGCUGUGUGUGUCACAGAACAGAGGUGGAGGGGAAGCGAGGACCCCGGUGGCGAAGCUUGUCAGGGCAGACAGGCUGAUUCCAUUCUCCCUUCCUUUCCCCGUGACCUUAGCCUUAUUUGAAGAAACCUCCUCAGUGGAAAACGGACUGUGGCUGACGACGCCUGUCAUCUGUGCUGUCGCUGGAGGGCAGAACGCUGGUGCCCGGCAUUGUCAGGCCCUGAGUUUACCUGCAAGUGGGCACGUAUUGCCCUCCCCGGGCCUCACCAGACUCCGCUGGCUCCUGAAAACUCUCCAGCCUGACUCUGCUUUUUCUCAUUUUGUUUAUUCUUUCAAAAUAUACAGUAUACUCCUUUCAGGCAGGUGCAAGAAUUUCUGUAAUAAUUCAUGUUCUCAUUUUCAGGAGCUAUGGAGUUGGUUUCAGCCCAGUCGAGAGGGAUAUGUGACAAGCGGGUGACGUCCACUGAUAAUAAACACAUGUUGAAA
rnacentral:lncRNA from 1 species